rnacentral:rRNA from 1 species
AUGGCCAUGGCGGCGGACUGGUCGUCCCUCCCAUCCAACUUCGUCCGCGCCGUCGCCGACGUCUUCCUCGCCACCACCGACCUCGACUACUACAUGACACUCCGGAGCGUGUGCCACGGCUGGCGAGCCGCGACCGCCGACCCGCACGGCACCGACCCCCGCUUUCACCCCCGCCGGUGGAUCAUGCUCGAGGAGACCCGGCCAGACGUCGACCAAGACUCCCGCCUCUUCCUCAACCUCGACACCGGGCGUUUCCUGCGGAAACGCCUCUCCGUGCUACGCAGCUACACAUACCUCGCCACGGCCAGUGGCCUGCUCGUCCUGGAGGAGCCUGAUAUGUGCAGGCUCUGCGUCCUCAACCCCUUCACGGGCACCCUCUUCCGUUUCCGAGUGCCACCGGUGCAUCCCUUCGACAGGAGCGUGGUCGUCGCCGGCUCGUCGCCCAUGGUGCUCUUCAGCUUCUACAACUUCCACCACCUAGCAUGGGCCGACCAGAACUGUGUUUUCUUUCCGCCGCUGGUCAAGCCCACGCCGGCACUUCGCGGGUUCACCGCCGUGGUGGCCUUCCAGGGCCGCGUAUACGCUGCCCACUCCAGCGGCUCGGUUGCGCUAGUCGAGCUCUCCCGGCGGCACAACAAGCCUCAGAUCACCGUCAUCGUCCCCAGCAGUAACUGGCAAGCCACGCCCACUUUACUCGUGGACAACGCCGGCGAGCUGCUGCUGCUGCGCAUUCCGGUUUACUCCCGCAUGGAGGUCUUCAGGGUGGACCUCGUGAGGAAAACGCUGGUGCCCGUCAACAGCAUCGGAAACCGUGCCCUCUUCCUCGGCCUCCGGUGCUCCCUCUCUGUUGACGCCGACCGCCUCCCUGCCGUCGACGCCAAUUUCAUCUACUACGGCGAGGGUCUGAUGUGUGAAGCGGGGGUUUGCGCGCAUCGCCUCGGGGACGACCGAAGUUUUAUUGAGAGAUGGGAAGAUGAGAGGAUUAUCCCGCACACGGGAGACAUGUGGAAACCUAUCGACCCAAGAGCAUCGCGCCCCAAGAGCCUCGCACAUGUCCUUGUGUCCUACUGCAUGGGCAAGCGUUAG